ACUCUCCUCACACUCAUUGACAAGUCACCGUUCGCCUCGGGAACAGCACUUUGUGGUCAAAUAAACCCAUAAUUCAUGGUUCUCCCCGUGACUGCGUGGGUUCCCUCCGGGUACUCCGGCUUCCUCCCACCUCCAAAGACAUGCACCUGGGGAUAGGUUGAUUGGCAACACUAAAUUGUCCUUGGUGUGUGAAUGUGAGUGUGAAUGUUGUCUGUCUAUCUGUGUUGGCCCUGUGAUGAUGUGGGGACUUUUCCAGGGUGUACCCCGCCUUUUGCCCGAAUGCAGCUGAGAUAGGCUCCAGCCCCCCCUGACCUCAAAAGGGACAAAGUGUUAGAAAAUGGAUGGAUGCUUGUUAGCUUGCAGGCUACUUUGUGAUUUAUGAUGUUAUGAAUAGUUUGAGAGAGCUCUACCAUUUGUAUUCUGGUGAAAGAAGGAUGCUUAACUUUUGUGAGUCAGAAGUCAAAAAGGCAACAUAAUGUUGUGUUCCAUUUCUACUUGGAAGUCAAAAAUGUCAACGACAACGUCCCAUGAGUUUGGAUGUCCUACGGGGAAAGUCAAAGAAGUCCUCAUCACCCCUUAGUUGGCUUCAAAGAUGGCUGCUCUGACUGUAAACUAUAAAAGAAGUUUCUGUAA